rnacentral:rRNA from 1 species
AGAGUUUGAUCAUGGCUCAGAUUGAACGCUGGCGGCAGGCUUAACACAUGCAAGUCGAGCGGAGUGAUGGUGCUUGCACUAUCACUUAGCGGCGGACGGGUGAGUAAUGCUUAGGAAUCUGCCUAUUAGUGGGGGACAACAUUUCGAAAGGAAUGCUAAUACCGCAUACGUCCUACGGGAGAAAGCAGGGGAUCUUCGGACCUUGCGCUAAUAGAUGAGCCUAAGUCGGAUUAGCUAGUUGGUGGGGUAAAGGCCUACCAAGGCGACGAUCUGUAGCGGGUCUGAGAGGAUGAUCCGCCACACUGGGACUGAGACACGGCCCAGACUCCUACGGGAGGCAGCAGUGGGGAAUAUUGGACAAUGGGGGGAACCCUGAUCCAGCCAUGCCGCGUGUGUGAAGAAGGCCUUAUGGUUGUAAAGCACUUUAAGCGAGGAGGAGGCUACUGAAGUUAAUACCUUCAGAUAGUGGACGUUACUCGCAGAAUAAGCACCGGCUAACUCUGUGCCAGCAGCCGCGGUAAUACAGAGGGUGCAAGCGUUAAUCGGAUUUACUGGGCGUAAAGCGCGCGUAGGCGGCUAAUUAAGUCAAAUGUGAAAUCCCCGAGCUUAACUUGGGAAUUGCAUUCGAUACUGGUUAGCUAGAGUGUGGGAGAGGAUGGUAGAAUUCCAGGUGUAGCGGUGAAAUGCGUAGAGAUCUGGAGGAAUACCGAUGGCGAAGGCAGCCAUCUGGCCUAACACUGACGCUGAGGUGCGAAAGCAUGGGGAGCAAACAGGAUUAGAUACCCUGGUAGUCCAUGCCGUAAACGAUGUCUACUAGCCGUUGGGGCCUUUGAGGCUUUAGUGGCGCAGCUAACGCGAUAAGUAGACCGCCUGGGGAGUACGGUCGCAAGACUAAAACUCAAAUGAAUUGACGGGGGCCCGCACAAGCGGUGGAGCAUGUGGUUUAAUUCGAUGCAACGCGAAGAACCUUACCUGGCCUUGACAUAGUAAGAACUUUCCAGAGAUGGAUUGGUGCCUUCGGGAACUUACAUACAGGUGCUGCAUGGCUGUCGUCAGAUCGUGUCGUGAGAUGUUGGGUUAAGUCCCGCAACGAGCGCAACCCUUUUCCUUAUUUGCCAGCGAGUAAUGUCGGGAACUUUAAGGAUACUGCCAGUGACAAACUGGAGGAAGGCGGGGACGACGUCAAGUCAUCAUGGCCCUUACGGCCAGGGCUACACACGUGCUACAAUGGUCGGUACAAAGGGUUGCUACCUAGCGAUAGGAUGCUAAUCUCAAAAAGCCGAUCGUAGUCCGGAUUGGAGUCUGCAACUCGACUCCAUGAAGUCGGAAUCGCUAGUAAUCGCGGAUCAGAAUGCCGCGGUGAAUACGUUCCCGGGCCUUGUACACACCGCCCGUCACACCAUGGGAGUUUGUUGCACCAGAAGUAGGUAGUCUAACCGCAAGGAGGACGCUUACCACGGUGUGGCCGAUGACUGGGGUGAAGUCGUAACAAGGUAGCCGUAGGGGAACCUGCGGCUGGAUCACCU